rnacentral:lncRNA from 1 species
UCAGAGCGAUUUGUAAUUGGUCGGACUGGAUUGACCGUGUGGCCAUCAGAGCGGAAUCGCCCCGAUUACUGGGAAAUGUGACACCUGCUGAUGACAUCAUCUGCUGUAGUGCAAUUGAGUGCAUAUCACGUCAUCUAACCUGAAUUUAUUUUGGUUAGAUGUGUAUGAGUAACUAGAGUAUGCGAUGAUGGAGCAAACCCAAUAAAAGAAAGGAAGGACGAAAAAGCGGAUGUCUGGAAGCAAACUAGUCUGAACCAUAUGUGAUAGCCUUCAUUUUCAGAAAAGGGUGUGGCAACUCUGUUAUCACUCCUACAUUGAGGGAUAUUGUGCUCAAUAAUACAAGGACAAAUGUCACACGAGAUGUUUGUUUCAUGUUCCAGUGGUUGGACUGGGUAUGUCAUACUUGCAUAAUACUUUAUUCUUUCUUUCUAGACUCCGAAGGGCCAGAAAUUGUAAUUCUUCAAGUGGACAGCUUCCAAGCUGAACUGGAUCCCAUUUCUGCCCAACUGGUACCAGAGCAGUUAGUACAUGACCAUGUUUUCUGGCCUGGUUUGGGAUAUUUACAGGAGCUCUACCCAGUACAAGCCAUGCUGGCAGGUAUGCAUGUGUUUACAGCAAAAGUACUUUUGAGUGGUGUUUUUUGUAUUGUAUUGUUCAUGUUUUUUUAAUAUAUGCGUUAAGAAUGUUUUGCAUUGUAUUUACAGCUGAACUAUGUACUUGACAAAAGCCGAUCUGGAUCAGAAAGUUUGGUCAAGGAUGGGGAUCUCUGUCUGACAAGGGAAGACUUCAAGACUUCCAGACCUUGGAUCUUAGCCAGUGCAUGAAAUCCAAUGGAUGUAUGUUAAAGCUGAUUUGGGUAAAUACACAAAGUACUCACUUUUGUUGCUCGGUUGCAGUUUGAAAAGGCAUGCUUCAAACUAAUCAAAGGGGCCGCACAAAGACAUGUAUUAUGUAUUAAAUCACAAAAUAUGCCCUCUCAGACAUAGGACCUUAUUAUUGUU